GCGGAACGGAGCAAUCCGGUC
rnacentral:snRNA from 1 species